rnacentral:misc_RNA from 1 species
GGUCCACAAGAUUCUGUUGAGUUCAAGUCCUCCAGUGGAUAAAUUUUAGUUUUAAGAUUCUAGGUCACAGAGAAAUUUAUAAACAUACCAAACUUGCUAAAAAGGACUUUACAUGUCCUGAAUUUUCCUGGAAAGUGCUCUCAAUGGUCUACAAUUCACAAAAGUAAUCAACGAAGCAUAACAUGUUAGAGCUUGUUUGGUUGAAUUCCAAAAUACAAAAUUUCAUAUUGUGUUUGAUUUGAAAAAG